rnacentral:rRNA from 1 species
UAGUCCACGCCGUAAACGAUGUCAACUAGCCGUUGGGAGCAUUUAAGCUCUGAGUGGCGCAGCUAACGCGAUAAGUUGACCGCCUGGGGAGUACGCCGGCAACGGUAAAACUCAAGGGAAUUGACGGGGGCCCGCACAAGCGGUGGAGCAUGUGGUUUAAUUCGAUGCAACGCGAAAAACCUUACCUACCCUUGACAUCAUCGGAACUUGUCAGAGAUGACUCGGUGCCUUCGGGAACCGAUAGACAGGUGCUGCAUGGCUGUCGUCAGCUCGUGUCGUGAGAUGUUGGGUUAAGUCCCGCAACGAGCGCAACCCUUGUCCUUAGUUGCCAGCACGUAAAGGUGGGAACUCUAGGGAGACUGCCGGUGACAAACCGGGAGGAAGGCGGGGACGACGUCAAGUCGAUCAUGGCCCUUACGAGUGGGGGCUACAAACGUGCUACAAUGGGCAGUGACAAUGGGGCAGCCACUCCGCGAGGGAGGGA